UCAGCUCUGCUUUGGGGGUUUUAAGUUUCAUAAAGUAAAAUAAAACAAAACUGAAGUUUUCUUUAAAGUUAAAAAAACAAAAAUGAAGUCUGUCCGGAGUCAUAUCUCUGCCUGGAUGAGCAUCAAUGUCUUGAAUCUAUUCUCUAUGCAGAGGCAUGCUGACAAAACUAAUGGAAACCAGUAUCAGUUUCUUCUCUAAGAAAUACACUUCCCAGUCUCCAGUGGAUCCCCGGGCUUAGGCUGCUUGAGGUUGUCGGCCUUUAGAGUCCAGUAACUCUCUCUCAUACGAGUGGACUGACUGAGUCUAAAGCAGCAAUAAAACAAUAUUUCAUUUUCUCGCCUUGUUCGCCGUAUUGCUUUUUAUAUGAGAAUGGCAGUAUGGUAAGAAAAGGUACACUAAAGCCAUAAAUUGACAGCAGUCUGUUGGGACCCCCUUUUGCACUAGUGCUUCAGAUGAUAAUUAUGUUUUGUGGAGCGAUCUCUGCUCUCUGCUCUCUGUGUUAUUUUGCUGUUUCAGAGAGAUGAUGGAAAAUGCAAAUGAUUAGCAGAGUGGGAGACUAAAAGUUGUGUGAGAAAGUGAGUGUGACAGGCGGAGAGAGUGAGUCAUUCGAAAGGUCAUCUCUGUGUAAGCUCUCAGCGUGUUUUCUGAAUUAUUCUGAUCGGUGUUUUGCAUAAACGUGUCUUCAGCUGUAUCUGACGGGGUUUAAAGGUGAGUGCUGGCUCGAUUUGUUGGAGAAGUUUGGAGUUCACACGAUAUUUGGAGCAACUUAUUGGAAUAAAAGUGAGGUGUUAAGGUUUUUAAAUGAUGUAUGUGGCAGCUCAGGUGGUACGUUUUCUGCGAGGGCUGUUAGUGAACAAGAGGGAGUGCAGCAGAAGUAGCUGCACCUCUGUUAUCACCUUGUUGUCUAAUCAACAUUCAUUGUGUUUCAAGUCAGCAGUGGGUCACAGCAAGACCUCGAACAUGGAGAGGAACCCUGUAGAGAUUCUCAGCUGCCGAACAGUGCAGCUUCUGUUUCUAAACCCUGUUUUACCGCAGAAGCACUCCCCCUUAAUAAAUCCAGCCUUCUAUAUUUUUGGAAAGAAAAGCAAAAAGCCUGCAGCUUUGUAGCAGAGUAAUUGCACCGAGACGUUUUAAGAGCUUCUUCCUUUUGCCAAGGCUGGUUGUGUUUUAUUUCUUCAAAUUAUAAGGCAAUUUUGUUGUUUUCAUCCGAGGAAUAUUGCUCUUUAUGUGCAUGCUGCCGUGUUUGAAGGGAAGGAGACUCAGUAAACAGGAGAAACAGUUUCUCAGCCAGCCUACUGAGGCGCUUUUUGACUUAUUUAUGCGUAACAUUAAUGUCUAAACAUUGAUCAGAAUCUAGAUAACCCACGGACUCAUUGACCUGUCAAGCUAGCCGCCCAGCUGACCGCGAUAGAUGAUCCAUCGACGUCAGGGGUCAGAUGCUGAGAUUGAAGUCAUAUGGAGACACAGUGGCAGGAUGACUUUAACUUAUCAUUAUGUCUCACUUUUAUUGAACAAAACAUUAUGGAGGAUUAUAUCUCCGGUUUUAAACUGGCGAUGUAGAAGGGGCUUAAAAGUCGAGUAAAUAGAAAACUAACAAAGACACGUUUUUAAGAGGUGAACUGUGACAGAAAAAUGCUUAAAGGAUAUUCCGGCGUAAAAUCAAACACACUGUAACACUGAGUUAGACACCCCGUUAGGAGAUGAAUGUUGCCGACCGCUUGCUUCUCUAGUUAAACCAACUUUAGAAACAACCACACGAUAGCAAAACACAACGGUCUGAAGAGCCAUAAACAAACCUAAACCAAAAAGCCACGAAUAAUGCUCAGAACAGCACCUAACUUCAUCAACAGCACAUAUAGGGUCCCAGCGAUAGCACUAGCCACCAAACAUCUUUUUAACUUUGCCUAAUUUCUUUAGCAAAGAGACUAAACACAACUCACCUACUCUCUUCCAGCAGAUGCUUGUUUGUAGCGAGACCUCAAGCCUCAGAGGGGAUGCAGCUCAAGGAAGAUUAUUUAUGAUCAUUUCUUUAUCAUUUCCUUGCAGUAUUGAUCAUAUUAAUCAUUUUGCUCUGUAGUUCUUCUUCCUUAGCGUCUCGGUCUGAUCGCAUUUCCAUGAAGAGAUGAUUGUACGCUGUAAUAUCCCUUUAAACUAAUAUAAACUCAAAAAAGUCUACUCCACUUCAAUUUAUUUUAAGGCUAGACUUGAUUGUACUCUAACUUUAAUAAGCCUUAAUUGAUCUAUUAAGCUAGCUUUAAACAAAUCUUAGCUAGCCAGCUCAGUUGACAGAUUGCUAACCCCAAAACACCAAACGUCAUUUAGAUGAUGGCCUUGGUAAAAUCUGCUUGGCCUGUUAUAGUCUUAAAUUAUCCCAGAAACUGUUUUUUCUUUUUAUCAAUAGGAUAUAUAUUUUGUUGUCAAUUUUUGUGUUCACAAUUUGUAAGUUUUAUAGUUGUUAUGGUGGGGUGAAGGGGGUUCGAAAACAAACAAUUAACGCUCUGUCGUACUUUUCUUUUUCAAAAUGUCUUAUUUUGAGAGUUUUGCUUUUACCAAAUUUAGUUUGUGCUGUGAUGUCCUCAAGGCAACAGCUUUUCACCUUCCAUUUUUCUACUUACCUUACAGAAAUGACCUUUCCAACAUAUUUUCAAUAAAUAAAACAAAACAAAAAACAGAGCUAGGUACUAGUCCUUCAUUUAUACAUGGUUAUUCUGAAAUAAAUCAUGAUAUAGUUUAAAAACUCAUUACACUUUUUCUUCCCCAAACUCCCAUAGCUAUUUGUUGUCCACUGAACACACUAAUAAUAGCACGGCGUAAAAUAUGAAGAAAAUACCCCAGUGUCCUUUUUAUUUCCCACAUUGUUGCCUCCUUGUUCCUUUUUCGUAUUACACUUCUUGUUUUUGUGUCGACGUGUAUUAGUUGAUACUUUAUGCUUAAUAAAAAUGACAUAGUGCAGUCUGAUGUCCUCAAAUGUACAAAGUUUGCAGUUCAGGAAGUACAUGAACCAUUUUUGCUCUUUAUUUUGAGCUCCCACACUGAUUUUCAUUGAAUGAAUAAACCAUAAAUAAAUGAUCCACAUAAGAAGAUGCCUCAAGCUUUGGUUACAUCUCUUACCAAUCCCUCCUGCCUCACAGAAACCUCCAUAAAGAAGAAAUGUAUCGAUGGUUGUCAGCUGAUUUGAUCAAUGUUGGCUUGCCACUUCUUAAAUUCAUUAACCGCAUGGCGAAUGGUCUUUCAGAUGCAAUCUAGCCUCAAAUAACAGUGAGCCACCCUGACAGGCUUUGUCAUCGAUCUGUCGCAGCUCUACGGCUCUGCCGGCAGAGAUCAGACCCACAACUAAACCUGGAGACACCCCCCGUUUGUUUGUCAGCGCUGACUCAGACCAAGAUGGACGAGGAUGGAAGAGGAGGAUGGCGGAGAUAGAGCCGGACUGAGGAGGAAAAGCCGUGGUUUAUGUUUGAUAUUUGCACAGAGUUACCGUGGGUGGAGAGUGGAGGGGAGAGAGACGGGAAAACAGAGACAGACAAACACACAUGGACAGAUGGAGACUUAGAGAGAGGCUGACAGAGGGAGAGAGAGAUAAAAUAAGGAAACUGACAGAUGUACAGACAAACAAAGUGUGGGAGAGUGGGGUGGGUGGUUGAGUCAUCGAUGGCCCUGAAGUAUUGACCAUAUUUACACUGUGGCCUUUUUCUCUUGACACCGUGCUCAGGGUUAGACGCUAAAAUGUUGUUUGACUGUAAGCAGCUGAAAAACGAGGAAAAGUGAAACAGUGGAGGGAGUUUACUGUAAAAAGAGAUCACAAUGUUGUUUUUAGUGAGUUGUUGAAAACAUAUUAAAGGGAUAUUCCGGCGUAACAUUAAUUUUGGGUCAAACACACCGUAACACCGAGUUAGACACCCCCUCGAGAGAUGACUGCUGCCGACUGCUCGCUUCUCUAGUUUACACAGGAGCCACACCUCAACCAAAACGCCA